UACGGGGGGGGCAAGCGUUGUUCGGAAUUACUGGGCGUAAAGGGCUCGUAGGCGGCCAACUAAGUCGGAUGUGAAAUCCCCAGGCUUAACCUGGGAACUGCAUCCGAUACUGGAUGGCUUGAAUCCGGGAGAGGGAUGGCGGAAUUCCAGGUGUAGCGGUGAAAUGCGUAGAUAUCUGGAGGAACACCGGUGGCGAAGGCGGCAUCCUGGACCGGCAUUGACGCUGAGGAGCGAAAGCCAGGGGAGCAAACGGGG
rnacentral:rRNA from 1 species